rnacentral:tRNA from 1 species
GGUUGUGGCUCAGUGGUACAGUACUUGUCUAGUAUGCGUGAGGCACUGGGUUCAAUCCCCAGCACCA